GACGAACGCGGGCGGCGUGCGUAAUACAUGCAAGUAGAACGCUGAAGGAGGAGCUUGCUUCUCCGGAUGAGUUGCGAACGGGUGAGUAACGCGUAGGUAACCUGCCUGGUAGCGGGGGAUAACUAUUGGAAACGAUAGCUAAUACCGCAUAACAGUAGAUAUUGCAUGAUAUCUGCUUGAAAGGUGCAAUUGCAUCACUACCAGAUGGACCUGCGUUGUAUUAGCUAGUUGGUGGGGUAACGGCUCACCAAGGCGACGAUACAUAGCCGACCUGAGAGGGUGAUCGGCCACACUGGGACUGAGACACGGCCCAGACUCCUACGGGAGGCAGCAGUAGGGAAUCUUCGGCAAUGGACGGAAGUCUGACCGAGCAACGCCGCGUGAGUGAAGAAGGUUUUCGGAUCGUAAAGCUCUGUUGUAAGAGAAGAACGAGUGUGAGAGUGGAAAGUUCACACUGUGACGGUAUCUUACCAGAAAGGGACGGCUAACUACGUGCCAGCAGCCGCGGUAAUACGUAGGUCCCGAGCGUUGUCCGGAUUUAUUGGGCGUAAAGCGAGCGCAGGCGGUUAGAUAAGUCUGAAGUUAAAGGCUGUGGCUUAACCAUAGUACGCUUUGGAAACUGUUUAACUUGAGUGCAAGAGGGGAGAGUGGAAUUCCAUGUGUAGCGGUGAAAUGCGUAGAUAUAUGGAGGAACACCGGUGGCGAAAGCGGCUCUCUGGCUUGUAACUGACGCUGAGGCUCGAAAGCGUGGGGAGCAAACAGG
rnacentral:rRNA from 1 species